rnacentral:tRNA from 3 species
CGGCCAGUAGCGCAGCCUGGUAGCGCACCGUCAUGGGGUGUCGGGGGUCGGAGGUUCAAAUCCUCUCUGGCCGACCA